UUCUUAUUGGAUGAUGACUAUCACAUGUUAUGUUUUGAUUGGAUGUCAAUUCCAUGAAAGAUCAAAUGAAUUGUUGUUUUUAUUGACUAAUCAGAACAUGACACGUGGUUAACGGUCAACGUCC
rfam:Glycine soja cultivar W05 scaffold1530_50, whole genome shotgun sequence.